UCGCCCGGCCCCGGCCCCGCGCCCGUCCCGCCGCCCCCGCCCGCCUACGGGAGGCAGCAGGGGGGAAUAUUGCACAAUGGGCGAAAGCCUGAUGCAGCAACGCCGCGUGAGGGAUGACGGCCUUCGGGUUGUAAACCUCUUUUAGCAGGGAAGAAGCGAAAGUGACGGUACCUGCAGAAAAAGCGCCGGCUAACUACGUGCCAGCAGCCGCGGUAAUACGUAGGGCGCAAGCGUUAUCCGGAAUUAUUGGGCGUAAAGAGCUCGUAGGCGGUUUGUCGCGUCUGCUGUGAAAUCCCGAGGCUCAACCUCGGGCCUGCAGUGGGUACGGGCAGACUAGAGUGCGGUAGGGGAGAUUGGAAUUCCUGGUGUAGCGGUGGAAUGCGCAGAUAUCAGGAGGAACACCGAUGGCGAAGGCAGAUCUCUGGGCCGUAACUGACGCUGAGGAGCGAAAGGGUGGGGAGCAAACAGGCUUAGAUACCCUGGUAGUCCACCCCGUAAACGUUGGGAACUAGUUGUGGGGACCAUUCCACGGUUUCCGUGACGCAGCUAACGCAUUAAGUCCCCGCCUGGGAGAACGCCGACCUCCG
rnacentral:rRNA from 1 species